rnacentral:rRNA from 1 species
GUGGGGAAUCUUGCGCAAUGGGCGAAAGCCUGACGCAGCCAUGCCGCGUGAAUGAUGAAGGUCUUAGGAUUGUAAAAUUCUUUCACCGGGGACGAUAAUGACGGUACCCGGAGAAGAAGCUCCGGCUAACUUCGUGCCAGCAGCCGCGGUAAUACGAAGGGGGCUAGCGUUGCUCGGAAUUACUGGGCGUAAAGGGGGCGUAGGCGGACAGCUUAGUCAGAGGUGAAAGCCCAGGGCUCAACCUUGGAAUUGCCGUUGAUACUGGCGAGCUUGAGUGUGGGAGAGGUAGGUAGAAAUCCGAGUGUAGAGGUGAAAUUCGUAAAUAUUCGGAAGAACACCAGUGGCGAAGGCGACUCACUGGCCCGUUACUGACGCUGAGGCGCGAAAGCGUGGGGAGCAAACAGGAUUAGAAACCCCUGUAGUCC